AGUCAUGCAGUCACUGUUGACUGAACUACACCAUUAUUUGGAGAUGUCAGAACUGGAAGUAAUUUUAUAUUGAUAAAUUCUGACGUCUUUUUUACAUUAAUAAAUUCUGAUGUCUCUUUUUAUAUAGGUAGUUCUUCUCAAUUGUCCAAAAGAAUAUCUAAUCAUUACUCUACCUUUAGGCAUAUCAAUAAACGUAACAAUACUAGGCUUAGUAUAUUAAUCUGGUAUCUUAAAGAUGAUAAUAAUCAAUUUGAUUUGGAAUGGAAUAUUCUCUCUAUAUCUUUACCAUAUGAUAAAGGUAAAUCUUUUCGUUCGCUUUGUAACAGUGAAAUGUACUGUAUCCUGUUCUCAGAGAAUCUCCUUGUAAAGACGUUUAUAGGACUCGUUUAUCGUUGCUAAUAUUGGUAAAAACAUACCUUUAGUUCCUAUAAAUGAUUUCUACCAUUCUAUAAAAUUCGACCUUUGACUGUCUUCUUACAUUUCUCUUCCAGUAAAUAUAUCUACUUCUAUGACUUUAACCCUUUUGUUACUAUAUUUCUGAUCAAAAUACACCCCUCAUAAGUUCCUUUAAAUUCUAAAAUAAUCAUGAAUUUAGACUAGUUUCAUAAAAGAACUGUAACUUUUUUACUUAUCAACAUAUUGUGAUAUUUGGAACAUAAUUGAAGAAAGGGUUCUUAAUCAAUUCUAUUGCAUAACUUUUGUCUCAAAGUGACUCUAGUUACAGGUAAAUCCAGGUAAACUGAGCAAAAUGUUUAAAUUUUGUUUGAAUAUUACCAUAGAAAAUGAGUCAUCGGCUAAUAUUCAAUUGGGUAUGCAACAAAAUUUUGAUAUAGAGGAAUUGUGCACGUCACUAGAUUAUCAGCUGAAUUUAAUGCACAGAAGAACAGAUGUAUCAUUAAGGUAAAAUAAACUGAAAUACUGGAAUUUGUUUUUGUGAAGAAAACUAGAAAAUUAAAUACAGCAACUAAAUGAAAUAUACACAUACAUAAAUACACAGGAACAUAUACAACAAAAAGUAAAACCAAGUAAAUUUGAAAAAUAUUUAUACAAUCUAAUUAUACAUAUAUACAAUAUUCACACAAUAUUUCUAUCAUGGAAAGUUGUAAAACAUCCCACUCUACAUACUGCAUCCUUGUAGAAUGCACACUGGAAAGAUGUUUCAACUGGCUAUCCACUGGAGUUUUUCUUUGUUGAUGCAGACAUUCAUGGCACUACCUUUUGCAACCCCCAAUUUUUUUCUACUUUAUGUAGAUCAGCUGAACUCAGAGGGAUAUCUUUCUAGCAGGCUUUGCUUUUCCUUCCUGCAGUUAUUUGUUUGGAGGAAUAACCUGCCCUCAACUGUGUUGCUACAUCUGCUUGGAACUGCAGAUGGUUGCACCGCUUGCAAGUCCCUCCUGAUUUGGUAUAUAAUAUAAAUGCAUUUACAAUGCUCAUGUUUACUAUAUACCAAACCAGGUAUCGCCACCAUUUAUUACCCGGUCUGCCAACCAGAUAAUAACUCAUCAUCUGGUUCAGUUGAUCCACACUGCCCAUGUACCUGUUAUAAUGUAGGUUCACAAACAGGGUGCCAUUUUCAUCUUCACAUGGUUGUGCACCGGUAGAUAGAAAAUUUAUCUGCCUCUUAUCUCUGUAUGCGGUCGCUAGCAGAUUUCCUUUCUGGUGUUGGAUUAUUUCAUCUCUUGUUUUAAAUUUUGCCUUUUUUAUAUCCAACAGCAGUCCUUUUCUACUAGCAAUUAUUGUAGCACACAUAUACAUUGUCACAGCUUCUAAAUUUACAUCAAGUUUGACUGAACUAAAAGAUCAGUCAAAAAAUAAUAUACCGCCCUGGUUAUGGUAUGGAAGUGAUAAAUUCCAGACCACAUCGUACCUUAGGCCAUGCUGACUAACAUUAUUGUCUCUUUUCCCUGUAUAAAAACUAAAUCCACAGCAGUACCCAGUAUUUGCCUCACAAAUUUUCCAAACUUUGAUCUCCCAUUUCGUGGGCUUUCCUGGCAUAUACUGUCAGAAGCGUACCCUUCCUUUAUACCCCACCAUGCCGUCAUCAAUGGACAAGUAUCUCUCGGGGUUGUAAAAUGUUUUAUAUGCAUUUUGAACGCAGUCAAUGAGGGGCCUUAUUUUAAAUAAGGGAUCAAAGUUUGGUUCUCCAUGUACUGGGGUACUGCUAGUGUCUCUCACAUGUAAAUACUGGUUCAGUUUCACAGAUCGUAUUCAGGUCAUAAUACUGGAAACAUACUGAUCGCCAAAAGGUUCCUGAUUGCUCCAGUAAUUUGUAAUCCUGGGUAACUGUCUAAUACUCAUAAUAAUAUUUAUGGCAAAAAAAUGCCUGUAUUCCUUCUAUGGUUGUGGGAGACCACAAGCUGUCUUUUUUUCCAGCUUGUUUACAUUCUGCGUAACAGUUUGUUUCUGCAGUAAUUACUUCAAACAAGCAUACUGGGAAAAAUAAUAAAAAGUCUAAUGGUUUUGCUUUCUGAGAAAGUCUAUGGGUAGACCCUGUCUCCUCAGAAAAAUUGGUAAUAAAAACAUUUUUUUAGUUUUUACUCCAUUCUGGUGUAAAAUCGUCCUCAUUAUUGCUAUCACUGCUUUCAGUUUCUUAAGAAUCGCUGCUUUUGGUUUCGGAUACAGAAAUAUCCAAUUCAUUUUCAUUCACCACGUGCUUUUGUACCACAUUCUUUUUCUUGAUAUCUCCAUAUCUUCUGUUGAAAAGCCUUCAAAUUCGGAAUCACUGCUUGAUUGCAUGAAAUUCCUCUCCAUUUUCAAAGUUGGAAAAAAUCAACGCCGAAAAAAUGUGGGAAAAAUCUUCCUAAAUUCACUGAGUUCAAAUAUCACGUCAAACAAUGUCGGAUACUAUAACUCAACUAUUUACAAAGUGAAAUCAUGUGUUUUCACAAAUGUACUAAUGAGAUUUGUGUUCAAAUUUACAUUUAAAUAAUAAUGGGCACUCCCAGCUGGCUAUGGCCAGGUUGGUCUUUUGAACCCCAAAAUUUUUCAGCCAGCUACAGUGGGGUUAGUAUCAAAAGGGUUAAGCUUUAUUCUAAUUCACCUAUCGCUCAAUAUCUCUCCACUAUUAGUUUUCUGCUAAUUUCUUUCUUUCUCCUCUUUUUCUUUCUAUAAACUACCUUGAAGUUGUAGCUGCUAAUGGUUUUUCUAAAAAAACUUGAUAACAUUCCCUUCAUCACAUACGCAGUCAUCACAUACGCAGUCAUCACAUACUGUUCAAAUGUCUUAUUGAUGUGUUUGGUUUCUUUCCCUGAUGAGAAUAUUGCAUUGCUUUACACCAUUUUAUUCCUUCUGGAAUAAUACCAAUGUUUUCUUCGAAACAUAUGUUGGAAGUAGAAAAAUUUGAAUAACACCUGCAUUUAGAAGAAAAAGUGGGAUUAAAAAAUCCAGGCAGAUAUCAAUAAAGACUUUGAAUUUAAUGAAUUAUGGAUCACCUUAAAGACAUGUUAACAAAUUUUUUGGAAAGAUUAUUUUUAAUGAUAUUUCCUAUAUCUAAAUAGGGUUAGUAAAAGAGAAACAACUGCUGACUUUGUGAGGUAAAUUCUGCAAUUUAAGGCAUGAUUUUCUCUAUACUCAUUUUGUUACACACACACACACACACACGCGCACGUGCACACACACACACACACACACUAUUGUCUCUUUCAAAAGGGACAAAGAGUUAAUAGGACUGCAAAAAGGAAGUGUUCAAAUAAAUGAGGCAAUGGUAAUUAAACAUUGGUCAUGGAACAAACAUUAAAAUGAGUUAAUGACUUUAUAUGCAGUAUCAAACCUUCAACAUACAUCAUAUAUAGAUAUUACCAUGGCUUUCAUAAUAUACAAGACAUACAAAUACAGAAAACCACUAAGGUAAAAAUAUACGUGUAUGGAAAAAAACAGGUAUAGGAAUGUACCAUCAAAAGAUGACUAAAAAUUUAUAAAGUACUUUAAAAUAUUACGGCUAAACAAAUAAAGAAUAAAUCAACUAAAAAGUUAAUUUUACUUCAACCACACCAAAAGAUAAUAAUCCAUGAGUAAAAUUUUUUUUUUCUAAUCAAAAUAUAUAUAUAUAUAUAUAUAUAUAUAUAUAAAACUGAAAUAUAUUUGUUAAUAUGUUUUCGCUAUUGUUUUUAUGUGUGUUUGUAUGUGCAUGCAUAUAUUACAUACUUCUGAAUAUGUAUUUGGAUUGAAAGAAAAUUAUAAUAUUAAGUUAGGUUUACUAUAUCAUUACACUGGAUUUGGACUGGUGAUAACAUGAGCAAUUAGACCAAUAGUAAUUAGAAUAACAUCAAUAGCAACAUCAAGAAGACUGAAUAGACACUUUCUAGAAACAGGUAACCAUUUUUUUAAAUGUAAAAAAAGAAUUUUUGUUACUACCUGAUAAGAACUUCUUUCUUGUAAAGCAGAAAUAUUACUUUCUCAAAAUAUUGACCAACAUAUGCCCUUAAUGAACAAACUUAAGAGGCAGAAGACUCACAAACCAAAAGUUGCAUCAUCUUUCUUGGAAAUGAUGUAAAAGGAAUAUUCUCCCCACCAGAUAUAGCCUUUGGGUAACCAGGAACUAGCUGUGGCCACUGUUAUACAUCACAACAUUUGAGGAGCCAUACACAAGCUAGAUGCAAGAGUAUGAUACUGACCAGCACCUGCUAAAAGGUGUAUGUGUAGAUGUAUUAUUACACACGUGUGUAAAAGUCUUGUUUUUUUCUUUGUUUUUUUUGUCCCAGAUAACAUGUUGUAUAUGAAUUAUGGAGCUAUGUUCUUUCUCCAAGAAUCCAAAUUCUGUUAUACUUUUAUAAUGGCUGGCUAAUACAUAUGCUCCAAUAAGAACGAGUAUAAAUCUGCGAGUGUAUUUUGGGUAUUGAAUUUGCAGGCUUCUCAUCCUUCUUUCUCUUGUAAUUUUCUUACUAUAUGAAUAUUAGAUGGGCAGCUGAGUUCCACAUCCCUUUAUAUUUUCAUAUUGUGGCCCCAGGCAACAAUAUGAGCUUGACUUUCUUUUAAUUUGGUUGUUGUUUUUGUUCUUAGGUUUCACCAAUAUUCUUGUGAUUCAUUAGUGUAUAUUUGUCAUUUUUUUUUCUUUCUCACUCCAUUCCAGUUUGUUCUGACGUCUACAUAAUACCUAAUGGUAUGCUUUGUCUUUUGGAUAGAAGGUACUUCAUGGAAAUUUCUUUUGGAUAGAUUGCUUGGAGGUAAUUUUGAAGAUGAGAUGUUGUAAGCUGGUCAUUACUCCAUGCAGUGGCUUUUAGUGUAGUUUAUUUCUAUUAUUUAAAAAAAAUUUUAUUGCUGUCUCAGUGAACUGCUCUAUCUUUUGGUUUUGUUGUGGUGUUAUGUUGGAUUUUCCACUGUUCUCUGGAGAAAGAGAUCUAUCUGCUUUAUUUCAUGUUGAUUAACUAUCCUAAUGAUAUUGUUAUUUUAAUGAUGGCAAACUUGAGUGAGAUAAUUACUGGCCUUUUUUGGCACAGCAGAUGUAGCUUCUAUGUUACAAUCUAGGUCUUGUGUGAUGUUAAUACAGAUCUGAGGCUAUGGUGAUUUCUUUUGCCUGAGUCGUCAUCAUCAUCAUCAUUUUAAAUCUGCUUUCCAUGCUGGAUGGUUUGACUGAGAACUGGCAAGCCAGUAGGCUGCACCAAGUUCCAAUCUGAUCUGACAAGGUUUCUACAGCUGGAUGCCCUUCCUAAUGCCAACCACUCCGAGAGUGUAGUGGGUGCUUUUUAUGUGCCAUCGGCAUGGGAGCCACUCAGGCAGCACUGGCAUCAAUCAUGUAUGGACGGUGCUUUUUACAUGUCACUGGCAUGGGAGCCAGUCAGGGGGCACUGGCAUUGACCAUGUUCAGAUGGUGUUUUUUGUGUGCCACCAGCACAGAAGCCAGUCACAGGACACUGGCACGGUAGGGGGGGGGGUCAAAGGGCAGGGCACUGGCACCAACCGUGAUACAAUAUUUUUACUUCUUCCAUUGAUGUUGAAAUUCCCAGUAACUCCAAGCAGUUUCUAAGUCCUUGCAUCCAUCUCAUUUAGUCAUUAUAAUGACCAAUUGAGAAGGCCAAAUAUAGUUGUGAGUGAUAUGUAUACUUGCUUUAGUCUGACAAUAUUUUCUUUACUCUUUAGAGAUCUGACAUUCAUUAACAGCUUGCCCAUGUUAUUUUUCAGUUCUUAUAUAAAGUUGUAUUAAGCUAGUCUUGGUUAGUUUUUGUUUCUUUCUUUCCGAGGUGGACACAAGUUUUUGUCACAAAAAUGUUUAUUUGGACUCGUUAUAUAUCAUUCCACAUUGUCUGGAGAAUAUUGGAUCAUAUGAUCCAAUUGCUUUUUGAUGCAAUUCUUGUCCUACAAGUUUCAUGUAGCCUUCAAAGAAAAGUAAGGUAUGCUUUUGUGUCUAACCCUUUAGUGUUCAGGCCGGCCAAAACCGGCCAUAAAUAAUUCCUCUGUAUUUGUUUGAACUGGCCAAAUCUGGCUGUAUCUGAUUCCUCUACGAAAUCGCUAAAAAAAUAAAACAAGCCAUGUUAUUGAAUUCUUGUAGCUUUGAGAUCAUGUGAGAUAAAACUUUCCCGCCUUUAUUCAAGUAAAAAUACUGUGAAAUUUUUGAGACUUCUUGUUUUUUUUUUUCAACAUUUGAAGAGAAGUGUGUAUCCUAGUUUUUUACAAUAUGGCAUCAGCAAGUAGCAAUUCCAACUUUGAAGGUUUUACUCUUGAUGAUGUACAAAAUAUAAACAAAAACAACAGUGAUUUGUCUUCAGAUGAAUCUGAUACUGAUAUUUACAAAUCUUUGUUGGAUUAAGAAAAUUUUGAUAAUGAAAGCAAUAAAAAUGAAGAUUACUACAUCAACUGCAAUUACUGAUUUCACAGAAAAGACUGGUCCACAACACAAUUUACCUCCUGAUGCUCAAUCAUUGGACUAUCUUUAUUUUUACCCAAAUGUUUUUUUUUUUGCAGCGGAAAACAAAUAAUUUCUAUUUGUGGAAGACCUGAUCCACUAAGUCAGCUUUUUUGUAUUAUAAACAUUAUGUUUGGUAUCAAGCAGCUUCUUUGACUAUGGAACUACUGGAGUCCUGAUAUAAGGUGUUGUCUUAGUGAUAUGAUGGAGCACUCAAAGAUCAUUUGGAUUGACCUUAUGCUUAACAUAGAUCCUGUCAGUAUCACAGUUCAUAUGGAUGUUACCAGUUGGUGGUUAGUAUCCUCUUAGUCUUUAUGUCCAAGUUACGGAUCUUUUCAAGUAUCCAGUCUAGUAUCCUAAGUGUUGCUUUUAACAAUGACACUGCAAAAGCCUUUUGAGAUAUGGUUUUAUUGAAUGUGGACAAUUCUGACUGCUAUAUCUUCUAAAGUCUGCUGAGUAUUCAUUUGUCUUGCUAGCUUUACUUAAAGCACCAUUGUACACAAUGUUCUCAUCAAUUCUGAGAUAUUUGUAACAUUCAUCAUUGGCAUUUGUAAUGUUGUUGUUCUUCAUGAUUAUAAAUCCUUUGUCAUCAGGGCUACACUACCAGGAUAAACAAGAUGCAAAUAAAUUGUCACACUGGACAUUUAUGUUCUCUUUGUGACUAUAGUAAUAGCUUCAGUUCUUAUUGGUAGCUCUGUGAAUCAUAUUGUAGUCAGUCUUUUAAUGACACCAAUUACAGGAUCUUUACAAAGUACAAUGACUCUAGUAUCCAUGAGUGAGGUACAACCAAGCACCUUGUGGUCUAGCUUUAAAGUAUUUAAGUACAACUUUAUUGAUGAGAGGCAAUCCAAAACUUGGCUUUUCUCCAAACUGUUUGUUUCACAGUGAUUUUAAAGAAACACAUUCAAGCAACCUGUAUAGAGUUCAUAUAUACCUUCCAAGCAUGUUAUGGGCCUGUAGUUCACAACCACUUUAUUGAAUUUUAAGCAUGAGCAAUACGUUCUUAACAUAAUAGCAUCUCCCUACUCAAGUAAAAGCAUUAGUGAGCUCCCUAUAUAUAUAUACACAAUCACAAAUGUGUGUGUUUAUAUUAUGGAAAAAGAAUUUGAAGUUCUACAAAGCCCAAAAAUAUGGGGAAAAAUUCUGUUCUGCUUCAACUUCUGUUCUGUUUCAACACUGGGUGCUUUCAUCAGUAGGAAUCUUUUAUCUGCUGUUUAAAAUAACUUUACCCAAUUGAAGGUACAUCAGAUUUUUAUAUUAGGUUGUCUAAAUAUGGAAACAAAACUUUCUCUACAACUUGGUCUGUCUCUCUAGGACAGUUACCAAAAUGUAAUGACCUAUCUAAUGUUCACCUACUGUACAGAGACCAUUUUUUAAAUAUUUCCAGAGCCCACCUAUUCACUCAUCAUAGGGAUGAAAAUGUAAAUAUUUGGUGAAAUUAAGAUUUGGUACUUCCAUCAAGAUCAGUGGUUAAACAUUUAAAAAAAAAAAAAAAAAAAAAAAAAUGUCAAAAA